GUUUGAUGAAGGCAGGGGCGGUGAAGGAGGCGUGGGCGGGGUGUAAACCUGUGAGCAGCUCUCUGGAUUCAGAAACUUGGCUAAACAGCAACAUGCCGGACUUGAUUUUCAACUCAACAGGUCUACUCUUCAGUGCAGAUUGGAAUCAGCUGUCAGGGGAAACCCAAGGAGUGACCCAGAGCCCUGAUUACAGCAGCAGCAGCAGCAGCAGCAGCAGCGUUACUGAGUGCUUCGUCGUGAUGAUACGCCUCCACCUCUAGCACCGUCGGCUCGACGAGCACCGCGUCUGUGAAAGUUUGUGACACUGUUUUUUUUUUUUUUUUGAGAUUUUUAUUUUCAGUUUUUAUGUCAGCUAUGAGUCUGUGUGAGUGAUUCAAGAGAAAGACAGGAGUUUUAAAUCAGGAAAACGAGUCACAGAACAGCUUCCAGCAGAGCAGAAAAUGUUUGAGUGGUUUAAAACAUGAACACAUUUGUUUAAUUUCUCUGUUUCUGACCUCUUAUUUAACUAUUCAGAAUGUAAACUCUAUGUUUCACUUUAACUGCAGGAAUGUGUAAACAUUUUAUUUGUUUUCUAAUGUCAUGUGCAC